UCGUUAGGUGUCUGGUUUGCUUUUUGGAGAUGUUCUGCACCCCCUAUAAAAACAUAAAAUGCUAAUGGAGCAGCUAUCAUAUUCACAUCUUUCGAAGAAAAGAUUAAAAAACAAAUGGAAAACCUGCUUACCGGUUGAUCAGGCGAAAAUUUUCGAACCCCGCAGGUCGGAUCUUUCCCACCAUCGCCCCAGCCUAAUUUCAACAGUUGUAUUGUUGAUCAGAGCCGAACUCUGUCUGAUCAACAAAUCUUAACCGCCCAUUUCACUCACCAUUGACUCUUUAGUCAUAUUUCUUCUCUGUUUCUCGAUUUCUCGGUAGAGCUAAGUCGUCGACUCUUCUUCAACAGUUCAUGCUAUGGCACCUAUGAAGAGCAUAUUUUCCCUGCGAAGAGCAGUGUUGGCUCAGCAUUGCAGUGAGAGGUGGGGUCUGGGCUUUAGAUUACUCAGCACUCAAGGUGCAUCUGGAAGUCCUCCACAAGGAGCAUCAACUGCUGGUACUCCCCAACCUCCUCCACCUCCCCCACCCCCAGAGAAAACCCAUUUUGGUGGCCUGAAAGAUGAGGACAGGAUUUUCACCAAUUUAUAUGGAUUGCAUGACCCUUUUCUCAAAGGUGCCAUGAAACGAGGUGAUUGGUAUAGAACCAAAGACUUGGUACUCAAGGGUGCUGAUUGGAUUGUGAAUGAGAUGAAAAAAUCUGGUCUUCGAGGACGUGGUGGUGCCGGUUUCCCAUCUGGCCUGAAGUGGUCCUUUAUGCCAAAAGUAUCUGAUGGUCGGCCUUCAUAUCUUGUUGUCAAUGCUGAUGAAAGUGAGCCUGGAACCUGUAAAGACAGGGAAAUUAUGCGGCAUGAUCCACACAAAUUGUUGGAGGGUUGCUUGAUUGCAGGUGUAGGGAUGAGGGCUACAGCUGCUUACAUUUACAUUAGGGGUGAAUAUGUAAAUGAACGUAAAAACCUUGAGAAAGCUAGAAAAGAAGCAUAUGCUGCAGGACUAUUGGGCAAGAAUGCAUGUGGAUCUGGUUAUGAUUUUGAUGUUCAUAUCCAUUAUGGUGCCGGUGCUUACAUUUGUGGUGAAGAGACAGCUCUUUUGGAAAGUCUUGAAGGCAAACAAGGGAAACCAAGAUUGAAGCCUCCUUUCCCUGCUAAUGCAGGUUUAUAUGGUUGCCCCACCACUGUCACAAAUGUGGAAACUGUGGCUGUUUCUCCUACCAUUUUAAGGCGUGGGCCAGAGUGGUUCGCCAGUUUUGGCAGGAAGAACAAUUCUGGUACAAAAUUAUUUUGUGUGUCAGGUCAUGUGAAUAAACCUUGCACAGUUGAAGAGGAGAUGAGUAUACCCCUGAAGGAGUUGAUUGAAAGGCACUGUGGCGGUGUUCGAGGUGGAUGGGAUAAUUUACUUGCUAUUAUACCUGGAGGUUCAUCGGUUCCACUGCUUCCCAAGCACAUAUGUGAUGAUGUGUUGAUGGAUUUUGAUGCUCUCAAGGCUGUUCAGUCAGGAUUGGGGACUGCUGCUGUUAUUGUUAUGGAUAAAUCAACUGAUGUUGUGGAUGCAAUUGCAAGGCUCUCUUAUUUUUACAAGCAUGAAAGCUGUGGGCAGUGCACACCGUGUAGGGAGGGAACAGGAUGGCUUUGGAUGAUCAUGGAAAGGUUGAAGGUUGGAAAUGCUAAGUUUGAAGAGAUCGAUAUGCUUCAAGAGGUGACCAAGCAGAUUGAAGGGCACACAAUCUGUGCAUUGGGUGAUGCUGCUGCUUGGCCUGUUCAGGGUCUCAUACGGCAUUUUAGACCUGAGCUGGAGAGAAGGAUUAGGGAGCAUGCAGAGAGGGAGUUGCUGGCAGCUACUGCUUAAGUUUAUUUUUCUAUUCAGGCAUUUGGAAUGUACAGCGUUCUCUGGAAGACCUAUGGGGUUAAAAAGGAGUUUCUAUACUGGUGGAUAUCCUGGAAUAAAAGUGGAGAAACUAGGCCAGAUGUUGAGAGGAUGGGUGAUUCAGAUAUCUGGUGAUCCUUCUAGUGAUCUGUUUGUUUUUCUAUGCUGUAUCAGCUAUGACUGCAUUUACUGUCCUGGAGAGAUGAUGAUUUUUCCUCCACCUGGGCAUGGAUACUUUAAACUCUGAUGUGUCUCUUAAACAUGUCUUUCUGGUAAAAUUUAAUGAACUUUGUUAAUAACAUCUGUAUUUUUCAAAAUUACUCAAUCAUUUGAUGACAAA